rnacentral:rRNA from 1 species
GCUGGCGGCGUGCUUACACAUGCAAGUCGAACGGUGAAGCAGAGCUUGCUCUGUGGAUCAGUGGCGAACGGGUGAGUAACACGUGAGCAAUCUGCCCCUGACUCUGGGAUAAGCGCUGGAAACGGCGUCUAAUACCGGAUACGAGCUGCGGCCGCAUGGUCGGCAGUUGGAAAGAAUUUCGGUCAGGGAUGAGCUCGCGGCCUAUCAGCUUGUUGGUGAGGUAAUGGCUCACCAAGGCGUCGACGGGUAGCCGGCCUGAGAGGGUGACCGGCCACACUGGGACUGAGACACGGCCCAGACUCCUACGGGAGGCAGCAGUGGGGAAUAUUGCACAAUGGGCGCAAGCCUGAUGCAGCAACGCCGCGUGAGGGAUGACGGCCUUCGGGUUGUAAACCUCUUUUAGCAGGGAAGAAGCGAAAGUGACGGUACCUGCAGAAAAAGCGCCGGCUAACUACGUGCCAGCAGCCGCGGUAAUACGUAGGGCGCAAGCGUUAUCCGGAAUUAUUGGGCGUAAAGAGCUCGUAGGCGGUCUGUCGCGUCUGCUGUGAAAACCCGAGGCUCAACCUCGGGCCUGCAGUGGGUACGGGCAGACUAGAGUGCGGUAGGGGAGAUUGGAAUUCCUGGUGUAGCGGUGGAAUGCGCAGAUAUCAGGAGGAACACCGAUGGCGAAGGCAGAUCUCUGGGCCGUAACUGACGCUGAGGAGCGAAAGGGUGGGGAGCAAACAGGCUUAGAUACCCUGGUAGUCCACCCCGUAAACGUUGGGAACUAGUUGUGGGGUCCAUUCCACGGAUUCCGUGACGCAGCUAACGCAUUAAGUUCCCCGCCUGGGGAGUACGGCCGCAAGGCUAAAACUCAAAGGAAUUGACGGGGACCCGCACAAGCGGCGGAGCAUGCGGAUUAAUUCGAUGCAACGCGAAGAACCCUUACCAAGGCUUGACAUAUAGAGGAACGUCUGGGAAACAGUCGCCCGCAAGGUCUC